UUUUAAAUAUUUUCUUCUUUUUUAAACUGGUUGCCGCAAUUUCCGGAGCUAAAAAGGUGAACCUUCAAUGUUUUUGUUAAUAAAUUAAACACCAAAUCAACAUAAAUCUACUCUAGAAUCUUAGAGUGAGUCCAUUUGCCGGAGGAAUAAAUAAUUGAAAAUUCAGUCUGGCCACUUGGUCCGUGGACCAAUCUAAAAGGGGGCCAGGUCACUGCAAGACUCAAAAUUAGUCUUCAGUCAUUUUUUACAUUAAUAAGUUUUUAAAAACUGCAUACAGGUCGAAUUUAAACGCACUUUUGUCACUGUGUGCAACAAGGGCGUAGCGCCACUUGUUACUUAAAUUAUUCUCACGCCAUCAGGGAGCGGCUGAUCGAAACGAGUUUUUGGGAUGUUAAACUAGAUGGUACAGUGCAUGUUUUGAUGUAAUAACAUCAAAACGGGCUUUCGGUGCCGAACGCCCUUGUUGCUCCCAAUGCUUCAAUUCGAAGUUUAAAACUCAC